GCCAGAUGCAGUAGCGCAUGCCUAUAGUCCCAGCUACUGGGGAGGCUGAGGCAGGAGGAUCUCUUGAGUCCAGGAGUUCUGGGCUGGAGUAUGCUGUGCAGAUCAGGUGUCUGCACUAACUUUACCACCAAUAUGGUGACCUCCUGGGAGUGGGAGUCCCCCAGGUUGUCUAAGUAGGGAUGAACCAGCCCAAGUCAGAAAUGGAGCAGGUCAAAACUCCCACGCUGAUCAGUAAUAUAGGAUUGUACCUGUGAGUAGCCACUGCACUCCAGCCUGGGCAACAUAGCAAGACUCUA
rfam:Otolemur garnettii contig140259, whole genome shotgun sequence.